rnacentral:tRNA from 3 species
CGCCAACUUGCUAAAACACACGGUCUCCAAAACCGUAGACGGAGGUUCGACUCCUCCAUGGCGCG